UCACUUGAUUUGUCUCGCUGGGCAGAUUCCAAAAAUAUGAGGUUUAAUUUAAUAUCUGACCACUUUUCAAAAAUUUAUGUCAGAAUGGCAGCAAAAAACACCAUUUUCGAAAUAAAAGUUGUAAGACGAUCGAAAUUCGGCGUGGAAGAAUUCGGCAGCAGGUGGGCCUCAAUCUGUGUUUCCGAUAAACCUUGUUUGCGUUUUGGUCGGUGGACGUUUUCCUCCCUUUUUAAUUACUUGAUAGCUUACUUAAACGGGAACAUCAGCUGGGGAGCUGCGAUGGCUGCCUGCGCGGAAGCGUGCUCGACCGCAGCAAACUUUUGCUCGUCGGCCCCAUUAAAGGCCGCUUCCCUCGCUCAGAAACAGAUGACAAAGGGCUGGCUGGCUGGCCGGCCGGCCGGCUAAAUGGAUAAACAGUUCCAAGCCGCACGCGGAAUGCGUCAGGGCAGCGUUUUUCGGGUUCGUUGAUUUGUUAAAUUGCUAACGACGCAUGCGACGAGCGCAAAGGGAAAAAUAGGCAGUAUGUGCGUGCGGAAUUAAUUCCUUUUUCAUCAGCUCGAUUAAAUUCAAAUCAAGCGGUAUUGCGGUAAAGCAGACCGAGCCAAUUUUAUCAUAGCAGCAAGUUUCUGAGGAAAAGGCGAAUGCCCUUUUGCUCUAGCUCGCUCUCCCGAGAAAAGUUUUGGGCAGAAGCAGCAGCGAUGAGCCAAUUAGUCGAUGGUCAAAUAGAGAAAAUGGCUUGAUGAGGAGUUGCUUAACGAGCAGAUCAAAGGGCACGCCCGCCCGCCAUCCAGACGUGCUCCUCGGCCAGCCACAUCCAUAAUAGCAAUAAUUGAAGUCCUCCUCUCCAGCCCCCGCAAAAUACUUCUUCAGUUGGGGUGGAUGCUCGGCCCUCGAGAUUCCUACCGCCAACGACGUGCAAAGUCGGACUUCUGCUCCUCCGUAUUGCCCUGACAAAAGUCGUUUGUGUUUCUUAGCAAAACCUUCAUAUAUAUAUAUAUAUAUAUAUGUAUAUAUAUAUAUAUAUAUAUUACUUCCAAAUGUCCUCAUUUAGGAGAUUUCUUCAUGAAGAACAAUUAAAAAGGAUGUGCAAAAACGAUAAUUUUUCUGUGGCCGCUUCAAAUAGUUAUUUCUUCAAAAUCAGUAAUUGAAUUAGGAUUUUAACUGAAAAUGAGAUUUCUUCAUGAAGAACAAUUAAAAAGGAUGUGCAAAAACGAUAAUUUUUCUGUGGCCGCUUCAAAUAGUUAUUUCUUCAAAAUCAGUAAUUGAAUUAGGAUUUUAACUGAAAAUGAAACCACACCCACAUUUAAAAAUCUACACGGACUACACCCUCUUCCGGGGGUCACUGUUCACAGAAAAUCCAGUGGACAUGUUUUUCGAUAUCAAGACA